CCUACGGGAGGCAGCAGUGGGGAAUAUUGCACAAUGGGGGAAACCCUGAUGCAGCGACGCCGCGUGAGUGAGGAAGUAUUUCGGUAUGUAAAGCUCUAUCAGCAGGGAAGAAAAUGACGGUACCUGACUAAGAAGCCCCGGCUAACUACGUGCCAGCAGCCGCGGUAAGACGUAGGGGGCAAGCGUUAUCCGGAUUUACUGGGUGUAAAGGGAGCGUAGACGGUUAAUCAAGUCAGAAGUGAAAAACCAGGGCUCAACCUUGGGACUGCUUUUGAAACUGAGUAGCUAGAGUUCAGGAGAGGUAAGCGGAAUUCCUAGUGUAGCGGUGAAAUGCGUAGAUAUUAGGAGGAACACCAGUGGCGAAGGCGGCUUACUGGACUGUAACUGACGUUGAGGCUCGAAAGCGUGGGGAGCAAACAGGAUUAGAUACCCGUGUAGUC
rnacentral:rRNA from 1 species